rnacentral:rRNA from 1 species
CCUACGGGAGGCAGCAGUGAGGAAUAUUGGUCAAUGGACGAGAGUCUGAACCAGCAAAGUAGCGUGAAGGAUGACUGCCCUAUGGGUUGUAAACUUCUUUUAUAUGGGAAUAAAAUGUUCCAAGUGUGGGAUUUUGUAUGUACCAUAUGAAUAAGGAUCGGCUAACUCCGUGCCAGCAGCCGCGGUAAUACGGAGGAUCCGAGCGUUAUCCGGAUUUCUUGGGUUUAAGGGGAGCGUAGGUGGAUUGUUAAGUCAGUUGUGAAAGUUGUCGGCUCAACCGUAAAUUGCAGUUGAAACUGGCAGUCUUGAGUACAGUAGAGGUAGGCGGAAUUCGUGGUGUAGCGGUGAAAUGCUUAGAUAUCACGAAGAACUCCGAUUGCGAAGGCAGCUCACUGGACUGCAACUGACACUGAGGCUCGAAAGUGUGGGUAUCAAACAGGAUUAGAUACCCCGGUAGUC